GACGAACGCUGGCGGCGUGCUUAACACAUGCAAGUCGAACGGAAAGGCCCUGCUUUUGUGGGGUGCUCGAGUCGCGAACGGGUGAAUAACACGUGAGUAACCUGCCCUUGACUUUGGGAUACCUUCAAGAAACUGGUGAUAAUACCUAAGAGGAGCUCCUGCUGCAUGGUGGUGGUUGGAAAGCUUAGGCGGUGGGGGGUCGACUGGCGGGUUAUCAGCUUGUUGGUUGGGUAGUGGCUUACCCAGGCUUUGACGGGUAGCCUGCCUGGGAGGGUGACCAGCCACAUUGGGACUGAGAUACGGCGCAGACUCCUACUGGAGGCAGCAGUGGGGAAUAUUGCACAAUGGGCGGAAGCCUGAUGCAGAAACGUCGCGUGCGGGAUGACGGCCUUCGGGUUGUAAACCGCUUUCGCCUGUGACGAAGCGUGAGUGACGGUAAUGGGUAAAGAAGAACCGGCUAACUACGUG
rnacentral:rRNA from 1 species